rnacentral:ncRNA from 1 species
CUUCCAUCCAGGAUAGCUGGAGCUUGAUCAGUUUUAUCGGGUAAAGCGAAUGAUUAGAGGUUCGGGGGAUGAAACAUCCUUCACCUAUUCUCAAACUUUAAAUAGGUAAGACGUGUCGGUUGCUUAAUUGAACCGGCACAUUCAAUGUGAGCUCCAAGUGGGCCAUUUUUGGUAAGCAGAACUGGCGAUGCGGGAUGAACCGAUAGUCGAGUUAAGGUGCCAAACUACGCGCUAACCUAGAUCCCACAAAGGGUGUUGAUUGAUAUAAACAGCAGGACGGUGGUCAUGGAAGUCGAAAUCCGCUAAGGAGUGUGUAACAACUCACCUGCCGAAUCAAUUAGCCCCGAAAAUGGAUGGCGCUUAAGCGCGUGACCUAUACUCGGCCAUGGAAGCAAGUGCGACGCUUCCAUGAG